GAAUCCUGCAUGGCAGAACCACUCGUGAACAAGUCAUACAACACAGGGCACGGUUAAGUGUGUGGAACACCUCACACCUGAUUCUUGCCUAAUGGUACCCUGGGCAUUUUUGCCUUUGGUGCUUAACAAACCCCCGGCGCGAGAAGCGCCAAGGAAUACUAUAACAAGGGUCUGCCCCUUCCUCUCCCGCUCGCGGGGCUAGGGGAUUGGAAUGACUUCUUUCUAAACCACAACGACUCUCGGCAACGGAUAUCUCGGCUCUCGCAUCGAUGAAG
rnacentral:rRNA from 1 species